AUGCCUCCCUUAUUUGUGGCCAGCCCAGUCACAACUGUUCACUGGCUCCUGGUUUUCGUUUGUUUCUCUGACUUGUGUCCCCCUUCUCCAGACCCUCCGAGAGCGCCUCUGCACGACUCUUGUUCUUCCCUGCAUUUCCCAGUGGCCAGCAGAGGGCGCCUCCUAAAAGACUGCCGGACCAAAAGGAGCGGAUCCGCUUCCCCGGAUCCAGGCACUGUAAAGCCCAGGCUCAUGGCCACCUCAGCCUCUGCAGAGCACAGCCUGGCCUGCUCCGUCCCAGCAGGGCCCCCUCCUUGAUCCCGGGAGCCUGCUGCUGUGAGUGGCAUCAUCACCCCACUCCUCAGGCCGCCCAGUCAUCAGGUCAGCAAUU
rnacentral:lncRNA from 1 species